rnacentral:rRNA from 1 species
UACGGAGGGUGCAAGCGUUAUCCGGAUUCACUGGGUUUAAAGGGAGCGUAGGUGGGUUGGUAAGUCAGUGGUGAAAUCCCCGAGCUUAACUUGGGAACUGCCAUUGAUACUAUCAGUCUUGAAUAUCGUGGAGGUAAGCGGAAUAUGUCAUGUAGCGGUGAAAUGCUUAGAUAUGACAUAGAACACCAAUUGCGAAGGCAGCUUACUACCCGAAUAUUGACACUGAGGCACGAAAGCGUGGGGAUCAAACAGG